rnacentral:lncRNA from 1 species
CAGCGCCCACAGACAGUUCUAAUCUACUCGUAGCAAGCACUACACAUAGGCAAACAUACAAGCAACAAAUAAAACAACUAAAAAUAAUACACCGUACAAGAUAAAAGAGCAUACUAAUAGAGAAUCGACGCUACAAGAUUGUAAGAAGCACCAGAAUCGAGCCUAACGUUAAAAGAAAUGAUUAACGGUAGUUUUAUAUGAUAAAAGAGAAGUAUACAUAUUUGAUUUAUUAAAGUAAAUAAAAUAAUGUAGAAGUUAUCA